rnacentral:rRNA from 1 species
UACGGAGGAUCCGAGCGUUAUCCGGAUUUAUUGGGUUUAAGGGGUGCGCAGGCGGGAGAUUAAGUCGGCGGUGAAAUUUUGCAGCUCAACUGUAAAAGUGCCUUCGAAACUGGUUUCCUUGAGUGUAGAUGAAGUAGGCGGAAUUUGUGGUGUAGCGGUGAAAUGCUUAGAUAUCACGAGGAACUCCGAUUGCGCAGGCAGCUUACUAAACUACUACUGACGCUCAGGCACGAAGGCGCGGGGAUCAAACAGGAUUAGAUACCCUGGUAGU